AGAGAAAAACCAAGAGAGCGGGCAGACAGAUUUUAUGUGAGAGAAAAGUUGGAUGCUCACGCUCCAUGGAGCAUCCUCGCGUUUCCCGGGGAAAAGCGGAUCCCGGAGAAGCAGCCUAAUCUCUCAGCCCUUGUGGAGAAGGGAAUAUCAGAAGCAGGACGAAAGCCAGGUCAAGUCUCUUUCCUUAGGCUCCCCAAAGGGACAAGUACUCACCUCCCAGAGACCUGGCCCAGCGGGUCCUCAUGGCAGCACCACCCCCUCCCGGUGCCCACGACCAUUCGUCUCCCAUCCGGCGUUCUCCAGGAUUUCCAAAGACGCCCGUUUAGAUCCACAGAGCUGGAAGACAGCUGUUCCUGGAUCACACCAGAAUGGAGAAGCAAGCUCCUCCCACUAGCAGAAAGCCUUUGCUUUCUGUGCCUGGAUUCGGAAGAUUAGUUAAGCACUGGAAGAGGAGGGGGGAAACAACAACUCGUUUUUGCUUUUUAGAAAGAAAAAAACACAUUAAUGAGCCCAAGAAAUACACGCAACUCUGCAACUCUGUAGAUUUCCACCUGUUCCCAUCCUCCACAGUCUCCCAUCCCACCAGCAACACACGUGAGAUAUCUGAUGCCUUCCCAUCAAUAACUCUCACUUAGUAUGGGUAAGCAAAAAAUUUCCAACCAGGGAUGGAAGUUGUGGAGAGAUAGAGUGGGAAAGCUCAAGGAGCAUUGAUAGGGAUCAUUAAUUAAAAAUCUACCAAACAUCUCUUUCUCUCCCUAAUGUGCGAGUUACAAUAACAUCACUCAAAGCAGUUUGCAGCCACAGCUUGAAGAAAUACAGUA
rnacentral:lncRNA from 1 species